rnacentral:lncRNA from 1 species
CCCAUUUUCACGGCCAAAAAAGACCGAUGUUGUUUAUGCUUUAUAAAAAUCAGAGUACUUCAUUUUAUAAAAAUGUUGCGGAAUUUGUUCCCAGAAAAACAUGGUAAAUACGUUAUUAAAACAUUUUCGAAGAAACGUAUUUAUUUCAUUUUAAAACGUUUGGGAUGUCAUCGUUAAUAUAGAAACAUAAGCAUAAACAGAACUUACAAUUAUUUACACUAGUGAUCUACAUCUCUUUAAAUCUCUCAGUGUAAUGUCACUUCAUAUCAACACCUGUGAUAUAAAUAAACUAAGUGGGUCAGGUUGGGAAACCUGGUGAGUACAUAGGGUUUUCAACCCACAAUAAUAUAAUUAUUAUGUUUAAACAAUCAAACAAUCAACCCAAUUACCCAUCCCCAUUAUCUUCUUUAUUCUUAAGGAUCUACCCUAAGAAUCAGCUAUUUCUCAUUCAUUCAUUCCUAAGGAUCAUCCUAAGGAAACAACAUGAAGUCCAUUGUUGCCAAUGACACAUUGGUCAAGCGCAGCUGCUAAUAUUGUCACUUAGGCUCAGCUGCCAGAAUUAGGACAUUUUCUAUGAGGCGCUUCUGCCGGUAUUGACCUUUAAACACUACUGUCAUGGUCAUAAGGCUCCCUAUUAGGCGCAACUGUCGAUACUAUCCUUAGAGCGCAGCUGCUAGGAUGUUUACCGUAGAUCUAAAUCAUCUACAGGUUGUGGCGCAGCUGCCAGUGCUCAUCUAUAGGGUACUAGGUCCACUGCUGCCAAUGUAUACCUAUAGGGCACUAGGUCCGUACUACUAAUGUUCCUCUAUUUCAGCUUUUAUCCAUCAUCAUUCAUCUACCCAUGUUUUACCCAACAUAUUUUGUAGAUAUAAAAUACUUUAUACAGUUUACAUCAUUUAAAACAUGUAUAAAAAUCUUUCACCAGCAUAGACAACAAGUAUUCAGACAAUAUGCACACAUAACACGUAAUUUAUAUUAAAAUACUUCAUAUCUAUGUGUAAGAUGAAAGAGACCAUGCACUCACCUGAUUAGGUGGUGAUUCCGAACUCAGACAGCACUUCGUUAUCUCAAAACAAUUUUCCUCGACAAAACCUAGUAUCAAUACCACUAGGGUUUAGUUUUUAACGUUAACCACGACUAAUUAAUAGUCUAGCUAUUAUUACUAUUAUAUAAGCGUUAAAUAACACUCAAUAUAACUCAUAAUAAUAGCCCAAAUAAUUAUUUUAAGGUCCUAAUAAUGUUACUAUAAUUAAAUAAAAUCUAUAUUAAAUAUAGUAUAGGCGUAGCUCACUUACAGCGAGUUUUUAUUAAAAACCGGGCUUCGCUGGAGCAGCGUUUCCAAGCCGAAAGCUUUUCUUCUCGGAGCCGUCGGGCGCUCCGGGGCUUUCUUCUCGUGCUAGGGAGGUUCCGUAGACUUGGGAGGGGUUUAGGGAGGCUAGAGAGAAGUUAGAGAGAGAAAG